AGUGAACGCUGGCGGUAGGCCUAACACAUGCAAGUCGAACGGCAGCACAGUAAGAGCUUGCUCUUACGGGUGGCGAGUGGCGGACGGGUGAGGAAUACAUCGGAAUCUACUUUUUCGUGGGGGAUAACGUAGGGAAACUUACGCUAAUACCGCAUACGACCUACGGGUGAAAGCAGGGGAUCUUCGGACCUUGCGCGAUUGAAUGAGCCGAUGUCGGAUUAGCUAGUUGGCGGGGUAAAGGCUCACCAAGGCGACGAUCCGUAGCUGGUCUGAGAGGAUGAGCAGCCACAAGGGAAUGGAGAACCGGCCCAGACCCCCAGGGGAGGAAGGAGUGGGGAAAUUUGGAAAUGGGGCGAAAGCCUGAUCCAGCCAUACGGGGGGGGUGAAGAAGGCCUUCGGUUUUUAAAGCCCUUUUGUUGGGAAAAAAAAACAGCAGGUUAACACCCCGCUGUUCUGACGGAACCAAAAGAAUAAGCACCGGAUAACUUCGU
rnacentral:rRNA from 1 species